GGAUACGAUCAUACCAGCACUAACGCACCGGAUCCCAUCAGAACUCCGUAGUUUAGCCUGCUUGAGCGAGAGUAGUACUAGGAUGGGUGACCCCCUGGGAAGUCCUUGUGUUGCAAUCUU
rnacentral:rRNA from 1 species